rnacentral:rRNA from 1 species
CACGUAGGGAGCAAGCGUUGUCCGGAUUUAUUGGGCGUAAAGAGCUCGUAGGUGGUUCGAUAAGUCGGGUGUGAAAACUCUGGGCUCAACUCAGAGACGCCACCUGAUACUGUCGUGACUGGAGUCUGGUAGGGGAGUGUGGAAUUCCCGGUGUAGCGGUGAAAUGCGCAGAUAUCGGGAGGAACACCAGUGGCGAAGGCGGCACUCUGGGCCAGUACUGACACUGAGGAGCGAAAGCGUGGGGAGCGAACAGG